GCCGCGGCGUCCGAGACCUUCUGAUCCCUCGCUGCGCGCGGCGCGGGGUUGGCGACUUGGGCUCAGGGGCGGCGGGGCGGGGAGGUGCCUUGACCUAGGGACCCAGAGGCCGGGAGCAAGUCUCCUUUCGCCUUGGACUGCAGUGUCCCCCAGGGCAAGGCCUGAACCAGGUCGCGAGGGUCUGUCUCCCGUCUGGGGAGCUGAACUGCCCGAGACACUGUCGCAGUCGCGGGGACUUGUCUGGAGCGGCGGGGUCUGAGCCCAAGUCGGAAGCCGCCGCCGCCGCCAGCGUCCCGUGCGCCUGCCGCCCCGGGACCAGCCGCGAAACUUCUUCUCGGGACGGAGACAGCGCUCGCCGCCCGGGCCGAGAGUGGAUUUCAGGAUUCCUCUAAGAAGCUUUGGAAUGCCAGAAGAUACCACAAGUGAGAAGAAAAAAUAAAACAAGAGGAAGGAUAUACUUCCCAUAAGGGGACAAAGUACAGCCGCAGUGUCCUCCGCUUGGGCCAUGGAACAGCUGCAGGUUUUGCCCUGAUUACCCUGGUGGUAAAGUCUGAUUGGCUAUGAUUCCCGGUGUCCAGAAGAUAAACACGGGCGGUGCAGCGGAGCCACACGCAUGCCUGUGCAUGGCCACGCCAGGUCGGAAACCCAGCCCCUCUGCUUGGGAGGCACGCAGGGCUCUGGCUGAAGCCUGAAGCUUGGGAUCCUCAGAGCACAGAUGUCCCAGGGUUGUGUGAAGUUAGUGAGACGAGGUGUACGGAGAGAGCUCGGAGAGGAGAGGGAGUCUCGAUUGCUGUGGCUGUGGCUCGGAGAUGCCUGCAAGAGGACCCUUUAGGGUUGCACAUGGCAGAAACUUAAUCCACACCAACUUCAGCGAAGAAGGAAUGUACUGGCUCCAGUCAGUGAAAAGUCCAGGAGGAGCCAUGCCUUCAGGCACGGCUGCAUCCAGGCACUCAACAGGUGUAUCCAGGCACUCAACAGGUGCAGCCAACACCUUGCCCCGCAGGCUGUCAGCUCCUGCCUUCUGCUGCGUCCACGUCACUGUGUCCUACGGGCCUGAUGGAAAGGUGGCAGGCGAAAUGCACCUGGCCUCAGCGUCAGGGGCUGUGAAUGCAGUAGCACUUGUAGCUAUGAGGUCAGAGUGGACUAGGAUGGUCCUUCCACCAAGAAGCCUGGGCCUUCCUGCUCUUCGUUGUCCAGCUGCAGAAACUGAUCUCAUCCCUCAGGGCUUGGCACAACUGCCCCUUCCUCCUCACAUUCCCAAAUAUACCUACCCCUCCCCAACUCAAUCCUCCUCACCAGACUGUGGCUCCAGGAUGACAGGGCAGAGUUGGACUCACCUGUGUCUGCCAGGCCAGCUCACCGUGGGGGCAGGUCCCAAGAGGCCUCUGGAUUUGGACCAACUUCCAGUGUGACCUUGAACAAGGCCUUCGCCUCCCUCAGCCUCCGUUGCAUGAGGGGUUGUGCUGGCACAUCUCAGAGCAGGUAGCGCUACCUGGUGAGUUGAGGGCUCUGUCCAUCAUCUUUGUCACUGUAAUGCUGGGUAACAAAUAAACACGAAACAAUG
rnacentral:lncRNA from 1 species